rnacentral:rRNA from 1 species
AAUUUUCCACAAUGGGCGAAAGCCUGAUGGAGCAACGCCGCGUGCAGGAUGAAUGCCUUCGGGUUGUAAACUGCUUUUAUAUGUGACGAAUAUGACGGUAGCAUAUGAAUAAGGAUCGGCUAACUCCGUGCCAGCAGCCGCGGUAAUACGGAGGAUCCAAGCGUUAUCCGGAAUCAUUGGGUUUAAAGGGUCCGUAGGCGGGACAAUAAGUCAGUGGUGAAAGUCUGCAGCUUAACUGUAGAAUUGCCGUUGAAACUGUUGUUCUUGAGUAAUUAUGAAGUGGUUAGAAUAUGUAGUGUAGCGGUGAAAUGCAUAGAUAUUACAUAGAAUACCGAUUGCGAAGGCAGAUCACUAAUAAUUCACUGACGCUGAUGGACGAAAGCGUAGGUAGCGAACAG